rnacentral:rRNA from 1 species
CUAUGCGCCUUGCCAGCCCGCUCAGGUGUGCCAGCAGCCGCGGUAAUACGUAGGGGCAAGCGUUAUCCGGAUUUACUGGGUGUAAAGGGAGCGUAGGUGGCAGGGCAAGUCAGAUGUGAAAACCCGGGGCUCAACCCCGGGAGUGCAUUUGAAACUGUCCGGCUGGAGUGCAGGAGAGGUAAGCGGAAUUCCUAGUGUAGCGGUGAAAUGCAUAGAUAUUAGGAGGAACACCAGUGGCGAAGGCGGCUUACUGGACUGUAACUGACACUGAGGCUCGAAAGCGUGGGGAGCAAACAGG